AGCUAUUUAGUUUAUUUAAAAUAUAUGUUUGUGGUACGUAAGAAAUAUAUUGCUU
rnacentral:tRNA from 1 species